rnacentral:rRNA from 1 species
AGUGAACGCUGGCGGUAGGCCUAACACAUGCAAGUCGAACGGCAGCACAGUAAGCGCUUGCUCUUACGGGUGGCGAGUGGCGGACGGGUGAGGAAUACAUCGGAAUCUACUUUUUCGUGGGGGAUAACGUAGGGAAAAUUACGCUAAUACCGCAUACGACCUACGGGUGAAAGCAGGGGAUCUUCGGACCUUGCGCGAUUGAAUGAGCCGAUGUCGGAUUAGCUAGUUGGCGGGGUAAAGGCCCACCAAGGCGACGAUCCGUAGCUGGUCUGAGAGGAUGAUCAGCCACACUGGAACUGAGACACGGUCCAGACUCCUACGGGAGGCAGCAGUGGGGAAUAUUGGACAAUGGGCGCAAGCCUGAUCCAGCCAUACCGCGUGGGUGAAGAAGGCCUUCGGGUUGUAAAGCCCUUUUGUUGGGAAAGAAAAGCAGCAGGUUAAUACCCCGCUGUUCUGACGGUACCCAAAGAAUAAGCACCGGCUAACUUCGUG